AGAAAUUGAGGCACAGAAAACUGGUGACUCUGCAAGUCACAAAACACAAUAGCAGCCCAACAUUGCAAGUCACUUGGAUCUGGAAACUUCCCAUUGCUUUGAAGAUGUAUCUUAUGAACACCUCUGCUAUUAUUAUGCAUAGCCAUGGAAGAUGAUGCAGGAGGAAUGCCUGAUUAGAGCUCAUAUUUAGGAAGUCUUAAUGCAAGCUUUUUCCAGGAUCCUGAUAAAAUGAAGGCUUGUAAGAUUGUUGCAACUCAGGCCUCUUUAUCUUGGGUUAGACACGAUGAAUUACUAGUUGUGUUACAAGUUUCUUUUUCUUUAUCUCUGUCCGACUCAGCAUCUUCUCCUGGGGAGAAUGCAAACAAGAGGAGCUGGAGCCAAUUAUAUAUUUAGAAAUUAAGCAUGUAGCUUCAGGUGGCAACAUCUGUAAUAGAGGAAUGGAAGUGUGCUUUUUGAUGAAUUAUCAGCAGCACAAUUUUUAAUGGAAUGUUUGUCAGGCUCUUCCAUGAAAUACCAUCAGCUCUUUAACAUCUUUAAAAUUAUUACCUAGACAAUUUCCAGUAAUGAUGAAGUUGAAAAUCGAUGUAGGAAAUAUUACUAUAGUAAAAGCAAAAAGAUGCCUCCAAAUGGUAAUGUACAAAACCUCACAAGGGAAAGCUUACUUGCUUAGGGAGCUUUCCUAGUAGGAAUAUUAUAAAUCAUAUGGAAGUCAGAGUAUGAAUGAGAAAAAGAGAAAUAACGAUCAAGAUGUAGAUUAGAAUUGCUUAAAAUGUUCAUGGUUUGGCACAGACAAAUGCAACUAGAACAUGCUUAUUGAGCAUGGUCAGCAGAAAGGUGGCGUCUUGCAGUAUCUGGGUUGAAGCUUCAAAGUCCUUCUAUUUUGAAAAAUGCAUUAGAUCCAUUUCCAUGCUCUGGCAUCUGCACUGAAAUCACUCAUAACACAUCACUGCUAAGUGGCUGUGUAGUGAAUGGAGAGUCAGAGCCAUUUUUUUCCAGGAAAUCUCACCUUUGAGGUAAUGUGACUUUUGCAGCAUAGUCUUGGUUUCACCUGCUUGUGCAACUAAGCCCACCAAGACAGAAAUGGAUAGAUGGCCUCUCCUUUGGCACAGAGCUGGUCCUUCAUGCGUAGACUCCACUAGGAAACCUCAGCACUGUUGUACCAGUGGCAAAAUUCCAAAUGACUUAAAUAGGAGCAGCAGCUUUUUGAUCCCCCCUGUUUUGCUAACUACACGAUACCAUUUGUUCUUGGCAGGGACUAUUUACACUGCAAAUACAAAUGGGCAUACUUUAAAAUACCCAGGAAUCUCAAUGUGACCAAAUCAGUCAGAGUGUUUCAAGAUCUAAUUUGAAACUAGGAUCAGAAAUAUAAUAAUUGAUUCCAUACCAUGGUUUUGUUCCUGUCUAUACCCAGGAUCACUUUAUCUUCAUAUUGUGCAGAUGAGUAACAAGAAGAUUGUCUCCAUCCUUCUUCCAGAGUUUUAUCCAUUACAUGCUGAAUGAGAUACAGCAGGUGGCAAAACAAGGACAUGAGUGCCAUGGGAAAAUCAAAUAACAGGAAAAUAAAUAAAAUUUAGCAGAGAAGCUUGGGCUACAUUUUCUCCACAAAAGCAGUCUCCUCAAUGGGAAACUGCUAGAGACACAUGCCUUCUCCUUUGGAGGUACACAUUGGACCUGGAACAUGGACAACAAAGCAAAUGGUGAUGAUGUCUGCAUCAGUUUUGCAAGAAAUAAACCUUUAUACUGCAA